rnacentral:rRNA from 1 species
UACGUAGGGGGCGAGCGUUGUCCGGAUUCAUUGGGCGUAAAGCGCUUUAAGGCGGUUCGCUAAGUCGGGUGUGAAACCUCCAGGCUCAACCUGGAGACGCCACUCGAUACUGGCGUGACUAGAGUCCGGUAGGGGACCACGGAAUUCCUGGUGUAGCGGUGAAAUGCGCAGAUAUCAGGAGGAACGCCAGUGGCGAAGGCGGUGGUCUGGGCCGGAACUGACGCUGUAGAGCGAAAGCGUGGGGAGCGAACAGG